rnacentral:other from 1 species
UAUCCUCUGCGGUGCUCGGCAACACACUUCAUAUUGCCUUGACCCGUUAAUGUCGGCCCCCGGGACGGCAACUGGAGUCCGGUGUGCAGGUCCGCCCUGGUAGCGGAAAGCCUUAAGGAACCACGAGCCUUCCCCCCUGUGAUACAGGGAUCAAGGUCGUCGAUGUGUACCGGCACGGCGGAGGAUGC